rnacentral:sRNA from 1 species
GUGCGGGGUGUCGGGGCGCGCGCGCCUGUUGGCCGCUCGCCGACGGGGCCCAGAGCCGCCGAUUCCUGCCGAGUGUAGAGAGGAGAGAGUGAACAGGGAGCGGGGCUUUUGUCUGUUGGUCUCCCUGGACUGAAGAGAGGGAGAAUAGAAGCCCAAGACUAAGAUUCUCAAAAUGGUUUAUUACCCAGAACUCUUUGUCUGGGUCAGUCAAGAACCAUUUCUAAACAAGGACAUGGAGGGAAGGCUUCCUAAGGUAAGAUCCUUAGAUGCCAUUUUGUUAACACUAUUUUCAAUAUAGAAACAAUUGUUUUAAAAUAUCAGAGCUUUUUCAUUUGAAUACCCAUUAUAGGCUGCUAUAACAAUCCAUUAAUCUGAUACUAUGAUGACCUUGGAAAGAAUGUACUUUUAAAAAAUAUCCUAAAGUCCUAUGACUUAAAGUUCACAUUAUCUUCCUUCAUAAAUGAAAAAUUUUCAUUUAAAACAUGGAAUCAGUUUAGCAAAGUACAGUGUACAGGUUUUAAAUCUGUUCCACUUCUGGUUAGACAAACUCAAAUACAAUGAUCAAACUAAAAGAUUUCUUAAAAGUAUAAGAUGACUAUUAAUUGUCUGCUAAUAAAGUCUGAAGGUCUGAUAAGAUUAUCCAUGAAGCAAAAGGGAGGAACAAAAAACUGUUACAUUUCUUUCUUCUAAUUAAUUUUUCAGCC